rnacentral:rRNA from 1 species
UAGGGAAUCUUCGGCAAUGGACGAAAGUCUGACCGAGCAACGCCGCGUGAGUGAAGAAGGUUUUCGGAUCGUAAAACUCUGUUGUUAGAGAAGAACAAGGACGUUAGUAACUGAACGUCCCCUGACGGUAUCUAACCAGAAAGCCACGGCUAACUACGUGCCAGCAGCCGCGGUAAUACGUAGGUGGCAAGCGUUGUCCGGAUUUAUUGGGCGUAAAGCGAGCGCAGGCGGUUUCUUAAGUCUGAUGUGAAAGCCCCCGGCUCAACCGGGGAGGGUCAUUGGCAACUGGGAGACUUGAGUGCAGAAGAGGAGAGUGGAAUUCCAUGUGUAGCGGUGAAAUGCGUAGAUAUAUGGAGGAACACCAGUGGCGAAGGCGGCUCUCUGGUCUGUAACUGACGCUGAGGCUCGAAAGCUUGGGGAGCAAACAGG